UCCGGUUUGACACCGGCAGUCUCCCAUGAGUCCCCGACAUAACUCGCUGGCAACAUAGGAUAAAGGUUGCGCUCGUUGCGGGACUUAACCCAACACCUCACGGCACGAGCUGACGACAACCAUGCACCACCCGUCACCCGCCCCGAAGGACACCAUGUCUCCAUGGCUUUUCGGGUGAUGUCAAACCCAGGUAAGGUUCUUCGCGUUGCGUCGAAUUAAGCCACAUGCUCCGCCGCUUGUGCGGGCCCCCGUCAAUUCCUUUGAGUUUUAACCUUGCGGUCGUAAUCCCCAGGCGGGGUGCUUAAUGCGUUAGCUGCGGCACGGAGGGAGUGGAUAACCCCCCACACCUAGCACCCAUCGUUUACGGCGUGGACUAC
rnacentral:misc_RNA from 1 species